CUUCCUCUUCAUCUGUGAUGUAAGACUCAGAUGAGUAGAACUUGAGCAGUUUUAAAUGAAACAGUAGAUAUAACAACAUUGAAGAAAGCCAAACAAUCAAUAUACAAACAGGUGUUCAUUUUUAAGACCUAGUACAAUCAAGCCAAACUCCCUAGAGUUGGAAUUCACCUGAUAAUCAGUUUUGCUUAAGGAUUUUGUAGGCAUUGCUGAGCUCUACCAAAAGAAAGGGACAAAGCAUGAUUCCUACAUUCUGAGAGAAAUGUAGCAUUUGGGGAGGCAGAAGGCGGCCUUAUGGAUUUCAAGCCUGACAAGUGGGUCCCAAAAUAAUAUCCCCUGGCCAUGUUAGGAUCUAUCAUUUCAGAGGCUCAACCAUAUUGUAUGGGACACCCCCAAAACAUUCAUACAGAUAUACAU
rnacentral:lncRNA from 1 species